GGCUUGGUGGCGUAAUUGGUAGCGCGACAGACUCCAGAUCUGUAGGUUAUCCGUUCAAGUCGGGUCCAGGUCA